ACCACACCCAACCGCUAAGAUAUUUUCUUCUCUCCCCUCUCCUUCUCAACAAGUGUUUACAAAGAAUUGAAAUUUUUAUUAUUGUCUAUAUAUAUAGUACUGCAUUAUUCUUCAAGCUUUUACUUCAUCAAAAGGUACGCGUCAAAUCAACAUUUACAUGAAACUCGUAGAAUUUGAUUUGUACAUAAAACAUUCAGGAUCUUGAACUAAUCGAGUGAUUAUUUAUCGAAUUAAAUCUACUUGGUCGAAAUACAGAGCUUGAAAGCAGGUGGCAUCCACUUUUCUCCUAAUAGUCAAAAAAUCAAUUCUCAAAUGGGGCCAAAGAGUUCUAGUACUUCUUUCUUGGUAAGUUUUACAACGGGGUGGUAGGUCAUUUAUAUAAAAUUAUGAGACUUAUUGCUCUCCUAAGAUAUCGAGUACCUCAAUUAAUUUACAGCGAUUGAAAAUUUUGGAAGUGAAUUAAAUAUGUUGGAUUUAUUCUAGCUAUUUCAUAGAGGUUAUGCCAUAAAAUAAAUAAAUAAAGGGUUGCAAAAUAUUCCACUUGUUCACAUUGAAUGAUCUUAAUAUUUUAGAUUUGUCCAAAGAUAGUGAUCCCUUUCCAAAGUAAUUGUUUUUUUUUCCCCAAAUAUUGCCAAUUUUGAAGUUUAUGACAUAAUGCACAUAGUUGAAGUACUCUAUAUGAUCUGGAGUUGACCUUUUUAAGGUAAACAUGAAUAAGUAGACUACAUGGUCACGUUUUCAGUUCUUUUCUAAACAUCUCACAUCUAUAUCAAUUUAAUAAUUUGGAGUUUCAAUUGCUGACAGAGGGAGUAAUAUUUGUUAUCCAUGUCAUCCAAAUCUUGAUAUUUGAUGAAUUGAACAUUUGGACACGUUCCUGAACCUGACAUCCAUAUUUCAGACCAACUAUAUCUUAUUUAUUCAAAGUACGUUUCACUAGCAAGGACAGUAGUAGACACAAGGGCAACAUAUAGGCGUUGGAUGUUCAUUAUGAAGGGUUGCCUCAUAAGUAUCACAAUGUGCAAAGAAGUGUGAGAAAAUGCUUUUCAUUUGAGUGCUAUAGUUAAUUGCUAUGCUUUUUAAACCAAGUUCUAGACAAGUAUGAUAGUUUAUUGAUUGUAUUUGAGAUUUUGAAUGAUACAUUCUAUUAUUGUGGCCUCAAUGGUCUGUUUGAGAAUU